AACCAGACUCCUACGGGAGGCAGCAGUGGGGGAUAUUGCACAAUGGGGGGAACCCUGAUGCAGCGACGCCGCGUGGGUGAAGGAGUAUUUCGGUAUGUAAAGCCCUAUCGGCAGGGAAGAAGCAAGACGGUACCUGACUAAGAAGCCCCGGCUAACUACGUGCCAGCAGCCGCGGUAAUACGUAGGGGGCGAGCGUUAUCCGGAUUCACUGGGUGUAAAGGGAGCGCAGACGGCAGCGCAAGCCAGGAGUGAAAGCCCGGGGCCCAACCCCGGGACUGCUCUUGGAACUGCGCGGCUGGAGUGCAGGAGGGGCAGGCGGAAUUCCUGGUGUAGCGGUGAAAUGCGUAGAUAUCAGGAGGAACACCGGUGGCGAAGGCGGCCUGCUGGACUGCGACUGACGUUGAGGCCCGAAAGCGUGGGGAGCAAACAGGAUUAGAUACCCCGGUAGAG
rnacentral:rRNA from 1 species